AUGAUUAAUAGCAGAGCUAGAAUCCAAUCUAUUGACAUAUGGCAGUUCUAUUGGGGUGGCACAAAAUAUUCCAAUAAAAGGAUUUAUCUGGAAUAUAUUGGUAAUCCACCAGAUGCUCCCAAACCUUUUCAUUGGACUUGGAAAUCUUGCUCCCUCCCUAAACAAAAAAUUUUCUUCUGGUUGCUACUACAAGACAGACUCAACACCAGGCAUCUCCUUGUGAGGAAAAACUUCCACAUUGAGAGCAGCAGAUGUGUCCUAUGCGAUGAUGACCCCAAUGAGCAAUUCAUCCAUUUAUUUUUCAGCUGUGAUUUUAGCCACAAUUUCGGGUUAUCAAUUGGAUUUCCAUGGAACACUGAUCUUGAUUUGGUGGAGAUGCUUGUGGAAGGAAAGAAGCAUGACAACAUAUGUUGCUUUAAUGAAUGCCUAAUUGCAGGGUGUUGGAGCAUUUGGAAGCACAGAAAUGGCAUCAUCUUUGAUCAUCAGACCAGGAAUAUCAACCAAUGUAUUGCUAGCUUCAAGGAGCACUGUGACAUGAUCAUCAAAAAAGCUAGGCCUAGUCUGAAAGAAGGGAUGCAGUCCUGGCUAGACUAUUUGUAA
rnacentral:rRNA from 1 species